UCAAAGAAGAGACAAAAAUGAAAUAAGGCUUCAUCGGAAAAAAGUGAAACAGGGCGCAAAUAUAACCCAUUAGUUACAUACAGAUAUAAAUAUGGUCAACCUCUUUGAUUUUUUGUUGUGUGAUUUGUAAUACAACUUUAUAUUUAGGUAAAAAAUACGAGACUAUUGUGUGAUUUGCUCAACAUAGUGGUACAAAUAAGAGAUGUGUGUCUCCAACAGACAGUAUCCACAUAUAAAGGAAAGUAGUAUCCACAUAAAUAUUGACAACUUUCAUUUGCAAGAUUGACGUUUGCUUCAAGAUUCAAUAUUUAUAUCUUCGGAAAUUUAGACACUAGUAAAACACACAUCAUACGAUUACCAAUACACCUUCACACCUCUCCAACAUAUAACUACUACGGAUAAUACCACCACCACGACAAUUUAAAAUUGAAGGCAGUUUCACUACCACAAAAUCCUGGAACCAAUUUUUCAAUCAGAAAUUUUGUGGAAUUUCAUCUAUGCAAUUAAUAAGCGUGCAAGUACGUAUAUGCAAUUAAUGCUAAAACUUGAGAACAUAAGAAAGAAACCUGUACAGACAAAUAACAAUACCUCACUUGAUGCACCAACUUUAGGUUUAUACAAGAUAUAUUCUUGAAAUUUGAGGUCAUCAGCAAGAUUAUAAGGCUUGACAACUUGAC
rnacentral:lncRNA from 1 species